rnacentral:rRNA from 1 species
ACUGCUCAGUAACACGUGGCUAAUCUGCCCUUGGGACAGGAACAACCCCGGGAAACUGGGGCUAACUCUUGAUAGGCGAAGAACUCUGGAAUGAGUCUUUACCUAAAUAGUGCAACGUUAUGCUCGUUGCAUCGCCCAAGGAUGAGGCCGCGACCGAUCAGGUUGUUGGCGAGGUAAUGGCUCACCAAGCCUUUUACCGGUGCGGGCCGUGGGAGCGGGAGCCCGGAGAUGGGCACUGAGACAAGGGCCCAGGCCCUACGGGGCGCAGCAGUCGCGAAAACUUUGCAAUAAGCGAAAGCUUGACAGGGCUAUCCCGAGUGCCAUCCGCUGAGGAAGGCUUUUACCCAGUCUAGAACGCUGGGGGAAUAAGGAGAGGGCAAGUCUGGUGUCAGCCGCCGCGGUAAUACCAGCUCUCCGAGUGGUGUGGAUGUUUAUUGGGCCUAAAGCAUCCGUAGCUGGCUAAGUUAGUCCCUUGUUAAAUCCACCGAAUUAAUCGUUGGAUUGCGGGGGAUACUGCUUGGCUAGGGGACGAGAGAGGCAGACGGUAUUUUCGGGGUAGGGGUGAAAUCCUAUAAUCCCGGGAAGACCACCAGUGGCGAAGGCUGUCUGCUAGAACGCGCCCGACGGUGAGGGAUGAAAGCUGGGGGAGCGAACCGGAUUAGAUACCCGGGUAGUCCCAGCUGUAAACGAUGCAGGCUAGGUGUUUGGACGGCCACGUGCCGUUCUAGUGCCGCAGGGAAGCUGUUAAGCCUGCCGCCUGGGGAGUACGAUCGCAAGAUUGAAACUUAAAGGAAUUGGCGGGGGAGCAC